GAUGAACGCUAGCGGCAGGCUUAAUACAUGCAAGUCGAGGGGCAGCAUGGGUAGCAAUACCUGAUGGCGACCGGCAAACGGGUGCGGAACACGUACGCAACUUUCCCAGAACUGGUGAAUAGCCCUCCGAAAGGAGGAUUAAUACACCGUAAGAUAGAGAUGUGGCAUCACAUUUUUAUUAUAGCUCCGGCGGUUUUGGAUGGGCGUGCGCCUGAUUAGGUAGUUGGCGGGGUAACGGCCCACCAAGCCUACGAUCAGUAACUGGUGUGAGAGCACGACCAGUCACACGGGCACUGAAACACGGGCCCGACUCCCACGGGAGGCAGCAGUAAGGAAUAUUGGUCAAUGGACGCAAGUCUGAACCAGCCAUGCCGCGUGAAGGAUGAAGGCCCUCUGGGUUGUAAACUUCUUUUAUCUGGGACGAAAAAGGGGCAUUCUUGCUCAACUGACGGUACCAGAGGAAUAAGCACCGGCUAACUCCGUGCCAGCAGCCGCAGUAACAC
rnacentral:rRNA from 1 species